rnacentral:rRNA from 1 species
AAUAUCAAAGGUGAGCCAGUACAGGAUGGACCCGCGUCUGAUUAGCUAGUUGGUAAGGUAACGGCUUACCAAGGCGACGAUCAGUAGCCGACCUGAGAGGGUGAUCGGCCACAUUGGAACUGAGACACGGUCCAAACUCCUACGGGAGGCAGCAGUGGGGAAUAUUGCACAAUGGGCGAAAGCCUGAUGCAGCAACGCCGCGUGAGUGAUGAAGGCCUUCGGGUCGUAAAACUCUGUCCUCAAGGAAGAUAAUGACGGUACUUGAGGAGGAAGCCCCGGCUAACUACGUGCCAGCAGCCGCGGUAAUACGUAGGGGGCUAGCGUUAUCCGGAUUUACUGGGCGUAAAGGGGGCGUAGGCGGUCUUUCAAGUCAGGAGUGAAAGGCUACGGCUCAACCGUAGUAAGCUCUUGAAACUGGGAGACUUGAGUGCAGGAGAGGAGAGUGGAAUUCCUAGUGUAGCGGUGAAAUGCGUAGAUAUUAGGAGGAACACCAGUUGCGAAGGCGGCUCUCUGGACUGUAACUGACGCUGAGGC